AUAUCAAUACACAGAAAACCUAGUACAUGAUUUUGACCUUUCAGAGAGCUGAUGUUUGCUGUGAAUCAGUAGGAAAAAUGAUGGAAUCCAGUUUUUAAUGUUUCUUUUAAUAAAGAACCUAUACUCUUUGGUUACAAGAGACAAGUGCGGUUAAUAACCGAACUUGGGUGGCACCGCGAACUAUUUCGUCCCAAGC
rnacentral:ncRNA from 1 species